CGGUCCCUUCGGGGGCAGCCCGCGGACGUAUAGAGUAACGCGUGGGAACGUGCCCUAUUAGAGUACGGAACAACUGACCGGGAAACUAUCAGCUAAUACCGUAUGUGCCCUUCGGGGGAAAGCAUUUAUCGCCAUAUGCGAGCGGCCCGACGUAUAGAUAUAGCUAGCUUAGGUAGGGUAAAGGCCUACCAAGGCGACGAUCUAUAGCUGGUCUAGAGAGGAUGAUCAGCCACACUGGGACUAGAGACACGUGACCCAGACUCCUACGGGAGCGCAGCACGUAGGGAAUCUUGCGCAAUGGGCGAAAGCCUGACGCAGCCAUGACCGCCUGAAUGAUAGAAAGGUCUUAGGAUAAGUAGAAUUCUUUCACCGGGGCACGAUCACUGACGAGUACCCGGAGAAGAAGCCCCGAGACUAACUAUCGUUGCCAGCAACCGCGGUAAUACGAACUGGGGCUAGCUAGCGUUGCUCGGAAUUACUGGGCGUACAGGUCGCGUAGGCGGACAGUUUAGUCAGAGGUGAAAGCGCAGUGCUCAAGCUUGGAAUUGCCUUUGAUACUGGCUGUCUUGAGUUCGGGAGAGCUGAGUGGAAUGCCGAGAG
rnacentral:rRNA from 1 species